rnacentral:rRNA from 1 species
AUACGGAGGAUCCAAGCGUUAUCCGGAAUCAUUGGGUUUAAAGGGUCCGUAGGUGGAUAAUUAAGUCAGAGGUGAAAGUUUGCGGCUCAACCGUAAAAUUGCCUUUGAUACUGGUUAUCUUGAAUCAUUGUGAAGUGGUUAGAAUAUGUAGUGUAGCGGUGAAAUGCAUAGAUAUUACAUAGAAUACCAAUUGCGAAGGCAGAUCACUAACAAUGCAUUGACACUGAUGGACGAAAGCGUAGGUAGCGAACGGGAUUAGAUACCCCGGUAGUCUACGCCGUAAACGAUGGAUACUAGCUGUUGGACUUCGGUUCAGUGGCUAAGAGAAAGUGAUAAGUAUCCCACCUGGGGAGUACGUUCGCAAGAAUGAAACUCAAAGGAAUUGACGGGGGCCCGCACAAGCGGUGGAGCAUGUGGUUUAAUUCGAUGAUACGCGAGGAACCUUACCAGGGCUUAAAUGUAGAUUGACAGGUUUAGAGAUAGACUUUUCUUCGGACAAUUUACAAGGUGCUGCA